AGAGUUUGAUCCUGGCUCNNAACGAACGCUGGCGGCAGGCCUAACACAUGCAAGUCGAGCGCCCCGCAAGGGGAGCGGCGGACGGGUGAGUAACGCGUGGGAACGUACCCCUUACUUCGGAAUAGCCUCGGGAAACUGGGAGUAAUACCGAAUGUGCUCUUCGGAGGAAAGAUUUAUCGGUAAGGGAUCGGCCCGCGUUGGAUUAGGUAGUUGGUGGGGUAAUGGCCUACCAAGCCGACGAUCCAUAGCUGGUUUGAGAGGAUGAUCAGCCACACUGGGACUGAGACACGGCCCAGACUCCUACGGGAGGCAGCAGUGGGGAAUCUUAGACAAUGGGCGCAAGCCUGAUCUAGCCAUGCCGCGUGAGCGAUGAAGGCCUUAGGGUUGUAAAGCUCUUUCAGUGGGGAAGAUAAUGACUGUACCCACAGAAGAAGCCCCGGCUAACUCCGUGCCAGCCGCCGCGGUAAUUC
rnacentral:rRNA from 1 species